CCACCUGACCCCAUGCCGAACUCAGAAGUGAAA
rnacentral:rRNA from 1 species